CUACCGGGGUAUCUAAUCCUGUUUGCUACCCACGCUUUCGUACCUCAGCGUCAGGUUAUGGCCAGAAAGUCGCCUUCGCCACCGGUAUUCCUCCUAAUAUCUGCGCAUUUCACCGCUACACUAGGAAUUCCACUUUCCCUUCCAUACCUCAAGAUGAGCAGUUUUAAAAGCUUACUAUAGUUGAGCUAUAGGAUUUCACUUCUAACUUGCUUACCCGCCUACGUACCCUUUACGCCCAAUGAUUCCGGACAACGCUCGGACCUUACGUAUUACCGCGGCUGCUGGCAC
rnacentral:rRNA from 1 species